AUCUUCUGGAUGAAGACUAUUUCCUGAGGAGUGCUCUACAGUGGAACAGCCUACCAUCAAUUGGGACUGGUGGUCAUCCUUACAGUGUGGGCUUUCAGCAGCAUCUAUAAAUCACAGGCUGUAAUUCUUGCUUCUGGCAAAAAAUGCAGAAUAACAAACCAUAGCUAGGGACAGCAACCAAGUGAAGUCUGUAGAAUACCCAGGUGAGGAGCAUGAGCCUGGACACCUCACCAGCAAAAACCUAUGGUCCCUGAUGGGAUCUGUUCCUUUAUUCUACAGCACCUCACUACUAGCAAGAGCACAUCUCCUCAGAGAACUUUACAAUGUAGCUCUGCUUCCUCUGCUGUUUCCAAAUGCAAAUAUGUUUUCUGAGAGCCUUAGAAAGUGGAAUUAAGUGAGCUGUCCUUUGGUGCCCCUCUACAGCUCUGGGGAACUGCGUGGGACCACUUCUCCUGCAUGUUCUUUCACAACUGUGGAGGUUGUGACCUCAGAAGAGUAGUCUUCUUUCCUUGCUUCCGUUGCCUUUAUGGAAACAAACCAAAAAGCUCUUAGUCCCCCGGGAAUUCAGUGAUUUCACGCACUUUGCCCCAAGCUGAUUUAUACCUUUGUUAAUACAGUAAGCAUUUUUCUUCUGUAUGACUACUCUGGCCUGAUUUUUCAGCUCCCAUUUAGUGAUUUCAAUGUACCCAUCAAUGAUAAAUAUUUUGAAAACUGGUCCCAAAUUCCCCUCUGCCUGCUGCCUCAAGGGUCAGUUUGUUCUGUAAAUAAGAAAACCACAAUGGACAAUUGGACUUGCACUUCUUGUGUCAUCUGAAUGAAUCUCACGAUGGCUUUAUGCACAAAUCCAGUGAAUUACAGAUUUUUAGCUUACUUCCAGUUCCAACAGAUAAUUAAGAACUUUUAAAUAUGAUGUGGAUUAAUCUUGUAAGAAAUAAUUUAAUUUAUUUUUUGAUGAGAUUAGAAGAGAGGGAGGAAAAAAAGACAAGGAAAAGAAAACAUGCUGGGAUUGACCACAACCAACCUUUUGUUUCAAUCUUGAUAUGUACAUAUAUGUAUUUUUAGGGUAUUCAUUUUAAACCAAACUAAAUCAAACAUUAACACAGAAUAGUUAUGAUGAAGGAACUAAAAUGUUUUCCUCAGAAAAUGCCAGAGGGGAUGUUUUCAUUUUUUUGUGAGGGGAGGGAUUUGUGCAAAGCAGUCCUUGUAAAUCUGACACCAAUUUAUGUGUUUCAGCCUAUGGUUGCCAGUAGAAAAAAACCAACCAGUUGAGAAGUUCACAUGACUCUAUUUACAGAUCCAUCCUGGUGGCAAUUCAACCACUGGUCCCCAUUUUGAGAUUCUAUUAUUCAAAAGAUCUUAGCCAUGACAGGAGAAAAUGGUCCCAAGGUUCACCACAAAGACCCACAGUCUUUGCUGGUCUGAAAUCUCCCCUCAUUCAUAAUUUAUCUUACCCUCAAGCCCACUAAUUUGUAAACUGCAAAAGCAAAGCCAGUGCCCAAGGACUGUGCGAGAGAUUCCAGCUCACAGAGUGUGCAGGAGUUCACAGAUUCCCCUGAGACAGCCCAUGAACUCAGCAACACAAGUUUAAUGUUGCCCAAUAGCUUUUACAACUCACUUUCAUGAUCUUUUUUUCAAUGGCAAUAUAAUAAAUAAUGUCAGUUUGGGAUUUUUUCCCUGCCUUUUCUUUCAUUGCAACAGACACACAGAAAAUCCAUGAUAAGCAUCUGUUCUGGAGAAAAAGUACAUACAAUAUGUAUAUACAGGACAUGUGUUAGUUUCCCAAAUUGUUUUAAUGAUUGGCUGUAAAUAUUUUCUUGGCCUGCCUGCAGGUAUAAAACUUUCGGCUGUGAUCACAUCAGAUUCCAUCAACAGAGAUGGAUCUGUAUUUUUAAUGGAUAAGUAAAGUAAACGUAACUACAAAACAGAAGGUGUUCCCCUCCCCCCCUCUAGCACUGAUUAUAAGCUCCAGUAGAUUUCAUAAGGAUGCUGUGUUACUGAAGAGUCACCUGUCUGACUCAGGGAUAAAGCAGCUGCUUUAUUCAUGCUGAGAUCUCAUGGCAUUGUCUUAAAAAUGCUGCAGGAAUGUGACUUUCUAUCCAAGCUGUAACACCCGAGAAGCAAAAUACUUGUAUGCAGUCUCCCUGAAGUCUCUGUUAUGAUUUGUUUAGAUCCACAUCUUUUAUUUCCAAGGACAAAUAAAUUGACGUGGCUGUUGUACUC
ensembl:lncRNA